UUUGUUUUGUUUUUUUACCAUUCACAGGUAAAUAUUUUCUACCCUGGCUCUGGGAUAUUGGUGUGCUGUUGAAGUUAUUUAAGUGCUUAGCAGUGCAGCUUUCCCUAUCCCUGUCUUGCAUCUUGCUCACGGGGUAGCUGCCUCAUUCUUUGUUGAGCAUCAGCAGUCCAGAUCCGGCUCCCAGUGAGCUUUCUGGAUAGUGUCACCAUUGGUCCUGGAAGGAUCCCAUCUUUUGAUAAUAUCAUUCCCACACCCACUGAGAACUUAAGACCACCUAUAACAAAGAAAUUGUUUCAGCAACAGAGCCAACUAUCUCUAAGACGAGUUCCCCAGGAGACGGUUGCCCAGAUACCCACCAAAGGGUUUCUUCAAAAUGUUUGAAGAAAAAUCGCCAGAGUCGGGUAGCUGUGUUAUUGAUUAUUUAAAGACUUUAGUGACAUGACAUCAGCCUUCACCCAAGUGCUCUUUGGAUUUGAUCACUUUGCGUCCCGUGGUCCAACACACACGGAGUGCUGCUUACACAGUACAGGCUCGCUACGUAUCUGAAUGAAGUUCUCACCUGGUCUUUGACACCAUCGAUGAAUCACUCUGGUCUGUGACCUAUGAAUAUCACAUCAGACUAACUUAGGAUGCUUAUUGCUUCAUUUUUUCUGAAAACUUCACGCAUCUGCAGCCAAAAGCAGGAACUGGACAUGGCAGAUGUCACAAUGUCACAAUCCUAUAGGAAUUAUAGACCUCCUGCCACAAAGAAUCUGGAAGGGUUGGAGAACUGCAGGUAGGAGCUACUGCCUGAGGACUACCGAGGACUGUGCACAGCAGACACUGGACACCGGUACUGCCAGAACUUCAGAAGGGAGGUCCCGGAGAAGCUGGGAAUGAAAGGAACAGGAAGCUGCUGAGUGUGAGACCUGUGAUCAGGAGACCAAAAUCAAAACAGAAGCCGCGUUGUUACGCAUUGUCAUGAAGUCUCCAGACCUUACAAGAAUAAAGUUUCUGUUCCCUGGGCCAAUAAAUAUUCUGCAUGUUUUUCAACCUAGGCUGAACUUGUCACCCCAUGAUGUACACCCACCCCUUUUGCCUUGCUAAGCCCCUGAACAACUGUGAUAACUCCCCUAUCACGUGAUAUGUUCUUGCAUUUAUCUACCCCACAGGCAGCCUUGAGCCCAAGUCCCCUACUCUUUUGUCCAGGUGCUAACAGCCAAUUAUCUCAAAAGCUGUUGUCUGUCAACCCUAACUCCUCCCCCAUA